rnacentral:lncRNA from 10 species
UAAUUACAAACAGUUUUGUAACUCUUUGCUUUUUAAAUCUUAAAAAAAAAAAAGUUGCUGAAGUACUGUACAGGGUUGUACAAUGAGAACCCAAUGCCAAGGCAAAAAGAACGAGUGAUUUUUCCUUAGGAUACACAUCAACCACUUUGCUGUUGAAGCUGUCAGAAUAAAUUCCUGGUGGUCAGAUGAAAGGGCAGAUUAAAUGGACUCAUCAGGUGGGAUUUCUGGCUGCUGAAACCACUUUGGGCCAGGAAGAACAAGGAUGAAGAGGUUCCUGUCAUUUCUUAUGGGGUUCACAGAAUUAUUUGGGGCUUAAAUGGUACAAUGGAGACAGUCAUGUGCAAUGCUUAAGAUGGUCUGACAGGGUCCCUUUUGCUGGAGGUGUUCCUGAAGAGAUUGAACCUAGUAACAGGCUUUAUUUUCACCUUGUGUACAACAUGGCAAAGACUGCUAAGAUUAAAAUCCGUCUCCCAUUUGUUACAGCCUCACCUGCACCAGGAUAGAAAGCACGUGAUGGAAUCUGUGAUGUCUAAUGUGUCUUAUGAAAAUUGCCAAACAACUGUCCC